UUAAGAGUUCAACAAAGACAUAGGAAAUCAAAACAACACCACCAAAUUUCAUCAAAAUGAAUCUAAUAAGCAAAGUAUUAAAAUACCAAUACAAACAAUCAAUCAGACUACAGCUUCUCAUAUUUCUAGCAGUAAACUAAUACAAAAACAUGAUCAUAUUUAUGACUGAACAUGUUACAACAUGAAUGGAUCGCAUGCUCACCGUAUGAGGGUGAAAAACCCUAAUUAUGUACGUCAAAUAGGGAAAAUUCCCCCAUGUCCCCUCAUUUUGAGGCGAACGCCUUUUGGCACAGAGUGGGCAUGCCUAGGACAUCAAUGAUCAAAAAAUAAAAACAACACAAUCAAAAAACUCAUAGAAAUGAACAGGUGAAGGGAUUGUUACAUAAAUCACUGAACAUUCUCACACUCUAACAUCAUCUUCUUCAUCAUGAGAGUCUUCACUGUCAUCAGAGGGUUCCCCUCCCAAAUAGAUGUUAGGAUUGGCUAGUAACAAAGGCAUCUGGAUAAUUGGGUCAGCAGGUGGAGGAGAGAUGUCAGUGGUGAUCAAUAUGUGCAUUCAGAAUUGAGUUUGGAAAUGCAAUGAGUGUAAACAUAUAUCUAAUACUAAACAAGUAAAUGAGUAAUAAUAUAAAAUGAGUAGUGGGUAUAAAAUAUAACCCUUGUAAAGUAAAUGAGGGUGUAAAAUAGAACCCUGAUAAAAUAAAUGGAGGGUGUAAAAUAGAACCCUUGUAGAAUGUUCGUAUGGUGGUUACUUCUUCCCCCUGUUGAGGUCCUUUCACUGGCUCCAGGCAGCUGCAGGGGGUGAUGAUGUCACGAUUCUCGUCCUGCAGGAUGUGGUGGCAGCUUGGCAUGCUACUGCAGUCAGCUACUUCUCUUCCUGGUUAGGCUCCUCCCGUCCAGCCGGACAGCGUGUGACGUCCUCUCCGUGAUCCUGUAUGGCCCGGUCCACCUUGGUUCCGUCCACUUUCUUUUGGUGACCUUCAGCAGGACCCAGACGCCUGGCACCGAAGGCGAAGUAUCUUCGUGUGCGUGGUUUUGGUCCAAUGAAGGCUUUCUCGGCUUGUGCAGUCCAUUUGAGCUUUGGCAGAUAGUUGGUAGGAAGAUUCACACUCCGGCCGGACCAAAAGUUCCCCGAACCGAUCGCCUAGGGAUUAGAGGUUAUGCACAAAAAUGUCCUAGCUCUUACUGACCCUAGCCUCUGAUACCUUCAACAUCAGACACAUACAAUUACAAACAGCAAGCGCAAUUAAAGGUACAGUGAAAUCAUGACAUGAACACACACGGACACACAAACACAUACACAUACGCACAGAGAGAAAGAGAGAGUAAGAAUGUGUGUGGGAGAAAGAAAUGAGUGGGAUCCACUUUGCCACCAGCAUCUCCACCUGUGUCACAGAGAAAAAAUUACAAAGAAAUUAAAACAUAAAGCAAACAACAAUAAUUCAAUGAGUAUAAAUGAUCAAACUAAAAUAUACAACCAUGCAUGGUUUUAUAACAGUUCCGGCAACACUGGAGAGGAAGCCUUGUACAAUGAAUUCUUAAGAUGUCCUUCAUCAAUUAGAGGUUAUAGCCAAAUUGUUUCAGGAUCCUGAAUUUGAAUUUGAAUUGGUUAAUUUACUCAGAAUAGUCCAAUGGCUUUGUUGAUGUUUCUCAAGGCUCGGCCAUGCCUAUAUAGAUAAAUAAACAAACAAACAAGACAAACACAGUCAAACACACGGUCCAUACACGUCUCUGUGCCCUCACACACCAAGCAAAUGUCAGACUGAAGCGAAAGUGUGAAAACACUUAACCUAACGCUAAAUCAGUGGAAAGAAAAAUAAGACCUAAAGCGUGUGAUCAAAUUAAUCCAACAACACUUUCCAUAACUGCUGUUCUAAACUCACGUUGCGAUGUGAUCUCUUCAAUUAGAAAUUAGGACAACCACUUUACUAUCAAUUCAACCAAAUAGUUUCAGGUUGUCCCUUACCUAAACUACCUGCCUUUCUUACCUUCUUUCUUUCUUUCUUUCUUUCUUUUUCCUUUAAGAACACUACUCGCACAAGAAAUCCUAAGAAUUAAUUCACUACUUAAGGUUAAUUCAUAAAUAACGAAACUGCAGUUACAGGUUUGUUUGUGCAUAGUAUUGGUAAUCAGCAGUUUUUCCUUAUCUCCUCAUCUAGAAGUGUGUUUCUGUGCUACUCCUCCAUCUAUAACACAAAUUAGUAUCAUCCUUAAAGCAUCUGAAAUUAAGCUGCAUUGCUAAAUCAAUAACAUGAUUUGUGUUAAGAAAUACUCCCCUAUCCUCUUCCUUUUUCCAGUGGCACUUGACUCUACGACAGAUUUAGUUCAGUUUAACGUUUUAUUACUAUUACGUUUCAUUUAAUUAAUUUUGCUUUUUCUCUCUUAUUUUUAUCUAUUUAUUUAUUUAUGUUAUUUACUUAUUUAUCAUGCCAUCCUGUGAUGAUAAUCUUAAAGACUUUUUAGCCAAUUGUUGUCAAAAAGGCCAAUUAAAAAUAUUAUGUUAAAGAUUUCACAAGAUAAAAAUGUGAACAUAAUUUUUAUCGAAUGAGGGAAACAAUUAUUCAAUAUUUUUGUGACAUUAUUUUCUACGUUAGAGCUUACAGCUGAUAUAAAAAUAUAGGAUCAGCUAGGUUUGGCUAGAUCUGUUGGGAAACUCAACGGAGCUGAAACAACACUGUUGUCUCGGAUGAGAUGUUCCAUGAAUCAUUUAGUCAGCUGAAUGCCAAAUUAUUCAUUUAAUUGUUAUUUUUAUGCAAUGAAUGGAAUGGGAUGGAACUGUUCAAAAAUUUGCGCAUGUUUGCUCGAAGGAGAAAACUGUUGAAGCCUAAAGCGUUCUCCUAGACUUAUAAAUAGACACCAUUUCCUUAACAAAUGAAAAUAAGUGAUAACGCUGAUGUAUUCCGUUUUGAAAAGAAAAUAAGGCUUUACUGCAUGUCCACUGCAGCUGAGAAUCCUAAGACAAUAAAGAUUAUAUUGACGUCCAAUGGUGAGUUGGGCUGAAAUCCAGGUUACUAAUCCUAUUAUUUAUUGUUAUUAUUAUUAUCUUUUUUUUUUUUUUUUUUUUUAGGCUAACUUUUCCAGUUAACUAUGUUCUACAGUAGUUUAGUAAAUUUUCCACAGUUCUGACAUUUCAUCAAUUCAACUGGUUGUUGCCAAAAAGCCUUGUUCAUUACCUGACUGCAGCAAGCACUCUUUUACUGGGUGUAACCAUAGGAAACAGUCUCUUUUGAGCCUCUCUUUGUAAGUCCAGGAUGACCACCGUCACUGAUUAAAGUUCACAUGUUAGCACACAUGCUCCCCCUUUUGUACUUUGUUUCAUCAGCAGCAGGGCAAAUAAGUUUCUGCCUCUUUGUCCAUCUUGUAGUGCUCCCCGUCUUGAUGUUAUGAGUCACAGCUUUUGGUGAGGGCUUCCAGGUUCUCUUUGUAUAGAAGUCAGAGCCAAACAUUCUUUGCAGCUUGUUGUGACAGGCCCACCCAGUAAAGUUCAUGCCUCCACAAUGCACAGCAAACGCUUUCCUUAAAUAUGUUGAUUGGGUUGAAAUGACAGAACUUUCUCUUUUACAAAUCAGAAUCAACGAUGGUUUCUAAUAAUUAGUCGACUUUAUUGACUCAAAGGUAAAUCUAGACUACUUCCUAUGCACAAUUUUUCUGAAUCGUCAAAUCGGUUCUACACAGGUUUUAAACUUUAGGCACAAUCUAUCCCAAAUGCAAGAUCCCUCCUUUCAUUUUUUAUUUAUCUAUUUUAUUUUGGGAAAAUAACUACCAGUUUUUAACUCAAAACAGCCUAGUACAGUUUCUAGCCAGGUUACAGGAAAUAAUACUUAGUUUAUCUGUUUUUUCAUUAUUCAGCAUCUCAAAAUCCAGCCAUUAACGUUAAUGGUUCUUAAAGUUGAGGCAAGACAAUUAUUGGAUUUUGUUUUAUAGCAAGAUUUAACAAAUAUUUUAUUUCCUUACUGAUUAUUUGUUAAUUUUAUGGUUUUCAUAAAGAUGAUCCAGAGAGGUUCAGAGCUGCUUUUCGCAGCACCCUGUGCUAUUUUUAGACUGCGGGACUCCUGUGUGUAAAAGUGGGUGGAGUCAGGUCCCCAGGCUGAAACUCCAGUCAUUCUCACUAGAUCUGUCCGAGAGGAAGGAUCUCCUGAAUACCCUAACCAGAAGCCUUAAGUCUCUCGAACUAAAUAACCGUCUAGUAAAAACAUGGACCGCACCCUGUUUCUCAAGCAGCUGCUCCCUCUAUUAAAAACUGCGUCAUUCAGAAGAUCCCGCGAAAGCAGCAUUUACUUCUCAUGCAAGAAGACACACAUCCACUCAUUCACAUGGCACAGACGACAUUCUUUGUUUGUCACAGUCUCUUUUUUUUUUUAAAGUAAGUCAGUUCGUCACUUAUUUAUUCUCUCUCUCUCUCUAUAUAUAUAUAAUAUCUUAAGCACAGAAUUUAUUUAACACUGCACUGGUUAUUUUCAGAAUUUAUUGCUUACUAUGCUUUUAAGCAGGACUUAUGUAACAUUAGAGCAAAUCCAAUUGCAAUUUUUUUGAGAGCACUCUGAGGAAUAGUUUAUAUAUUUAUUUUCUGCAGAUCUGUUUUGAUUUUACUGUUUAGCAGCUUAUCUGACUUUAUAUAUAUGUAUAUCCAUAUAUUUCUGAAAUAAAGCUGUCAUAUACAACCUUACUUGCAUUUCUUAUUGUUUUUUUUUUUCCCUUUUUUCAUCUCCAGGUCACUUAACCCCCAGAUCGGGGUCACUCACAUGCUGCCCCACACACAAAUGAUUAUCACGCUUCUACACUGCAUAUGUAUAUAUAUGUAUACACAUAUACAUACAUACACACAUACAUAUGCAUAUGUUACUUUAAAAACCUUUUAUUUAUUAACUUAUGGUGUUCUGUUCAAAGACUGAUCAGAACAGGGUUGCAGAAUUUGAAUUUUGCGUAGCUCCAAACAUUAAUUUUAGCAAUGCAGUGUAAUUUACAUAUACGAGUUGCAACUUUUUAAAGCUCUUAUUUAUCUUAUUUAUUUAUUUUCUGGUACCGCAUCAGGCCUUCACACACACACCCAGCGCUGUACACUCACACGCACACACAUGGAGCUCCCAAAACUCGGCUCUGCAUUCUGCACUCUCCUAGUGCUGCACUUUCAAUCCAGAGCCGUAAGCAGCCUCUUGCUGCGCCUCACACACACAGGCUGAACUCAGCUUACACACACAGGAAGCUUGUCUACAGCUGUGCCUUUUUUCUCUCGAUUCUGCAGCCUUCACUUCCCAAAUCUUUCUCCAGUUACCUCUACUGUUUACCCCUUUUUUCUUCAUCGCCUUUUCCGCUGACUUUCUCAAUAAAACCUUAUUUCUCGUGGCUUCAACUGGGCUGCUUGUCAUAUUUAAACAUUGCUCAUUUUAUGCAAAAACAGUUACCUUAGAACAUUUUUCUCAUCUCAUACAAAAGGUCCUUGACCUGUAAAAUCUAGGGAGCUCUCUUUAGCCUCCCCUGCCCUUAACCCGAACCAGGUCCUCGACCUGUGCUUUAGGGAGCUCUCUUUAGCCUCCCAGGGCCUCAACACAAACCAGGUCCUCGACCUGUGGACUUUUAGGGUUCCCACACCUAUGGACUCUUCGCCAAGCUCUUAUAUAACCUUGUUAUAUUUCUAUUCACUCGUCAGCAAAUAGUGUGGUCAGCCACGACCUGGAAAUGGAACUUUUGGGCUCUUCUAAUAACCCUGGGCCACCAUCCCUUCUUCUGUACUAUUUCCUUAUCUCAUUUACUCAUUAAACCAUUAGAAAAAUCCUCAUUUCAUUUCACCAUUAAACCAUUACAAAAAAUCUCUUAUUCUUCUGCACUUGUCUCCACUUUCUUCUCCAACUAUUAUUUUAGGACCACAGCUACUAUGAUUCUGGACACAAAGGCUUUGGAUAAAUCCAAUGAGCAGAUUUUAGAUAAUAGGCUCUGCUUACCUUGUUUUUCACCGCGGUGUUCUGUGCCAAAAUCGUUCACUGGGUCGGAUGGUCAAAUUGUCCUCCAAAAACUCCUUUUUCUUCAAAAAGAAAAAAUCCUGUUCGUGACGCCAAAUUUGUUGGUCUUUCUUCUGUUAGACCAAGCACGGGUACGGAGAAGAUGGAGUUAAACACCUUUUUGAGUUGGUAGAAAUGAGGAGACAAAUGAUCAGAGGAGUCCAGUCACUGUUUCACCGCUCGAGAGGGGGAGAGCCUUUGCAACAUACAGCAGGUCCCGCGACCUGCUCCCGUCAGUUGCUUCGGACAGACUCUCGCCGUUCUGCUGAAAAUGGCUGAUUUUUAUUGAAGAUUACAGGAAUGUUACAUACGCAGUUUGCCAUGUACAUACGUCAUUGGUCAUGACAGGUGAAAAUAACAGCCUUGUUAGUGGACAGUUAAUUCAUCACGAGAACAUGCAUCCUUGAGAUUACUAGAAGCAUCUUGAUACAUGAAGAUACAUUUCACUGGUACCGAGAGGAGCUGGAAUGUGCUGACUCCCUCCAAGGUUGCAGAACAGAACAUGCUGCUGUAAAUCUUUGUGCAGAGGCCUUGAGUAUCUAAGCAAGUGUACAUAUCAUAGCGUAAUACAAAUGAGCUUAAAAGGUAAAUAUAUAAAAGAAGCUUAUAAGGUAAAUAUAAAAUAAGCUUAUAAGGUAGAUACAUAUAUUUUCAGUAUAUAUUUAUGAAAUCCACUCACUCAGAUUCUCGACCGCGCGAUUAAUUUUAGACAAAUCAUCCAGGGGGGAAGGUACCGGAGUUUUACAAGUUAAUUCCUCAAUAGGAAUUUCUUCCCACUCGCCGUCCGAUAUGACAAUAGCGUCUGAAAAUAAAGAUGUUAAACCAGAAAGAGAAAAAAAAGAUUUGCGUCUUGAGUUAAAAACUUACCCGUCAUCUUAGCUUGUUACACCUCAAAUCACGACUCCGAAAAUGCGGGUUUACAUUUUAUACAGCUGUUUAAAAAAAUCUUGAAUAGAAAACGGUUGCGAUUGGUCGAAAAAAAAAUGUUUAUAAACAAUACAUAGUAAUUUGCUUUGUUGUAUAGGUAGACAAAUGUAUGAAUGGGUGUUUAGAGUUGUGUGUGUGUGUGUGUGUGUGUGUGUGUGUGUGUGUGUUUAACUCGUAUCCAGUGCUUCAUCAAAACUCCCCGGAGCAGAAAUAAAAAAAAACCUUUACGAUCCAAAAAAAUAAUACCGGACCGGUUUUGUACCGGACAUUUCUUCAUGAAAUCUCAUCAUGUCUCAAUUCGAACGUUGUUUUUAGCAGAGGAAGGCUAUAUUCAAAACACGUAUCCAUCGGUUCUUCUUCGCUCAUGUUUCGUUAAUAAUGGUUAAAAUGUAGCAGCUCUUUCACUCGUGUGUAAAUCCGUUUACGGCAUGCAUGUGCCUUAGUUUAACUAUUCUGAGAGGUAUGACAUUAAAGGUUUGACCAGAGGUACGUCUGCUCUGAGACUUUACUAAUCCACCCCUCCCAAAAAACAAACCUCAUAAACAGCUUUUUAUUUAUUUCAGCUGUUAUAGGUCCUACAAAAUGGAUCAAAUCUUUUCUCUGAGGCAGGAAGCAAUGUGUGUGUGUGUGUGUGUGUGUGUGUGUGUGUGUGUGUGUGUGUGUGUGUGUGUGUGUGUGUGUGUGUGUGUGUGUGUGUGUGUGUGACAGUGAAAACAAAA